AGAUGUGAUGUUGUAGCACCUGACUGUUGAAUUUAUUAUUGUUAUUGUUAGCCAAUGUUGAGAUAGGUCAUAAAUGCUAAAUAUUCAUAUGUGAAUGGACCAUAAUACUUCAGAAGACUGUUUUUCUUUUGCCUGCCUUUUUUUUCCUAAUUUUAUUUUAUUAUCUUGAAUUUGGAAUGAUCCAUUGACAGUGAGGGCCAUUAAUAAUGUAUGGAAAGUGUUUGUACAAGUACAUGUUGCAGGGCCCUUUAUACCGUGUGGGGUUCCAUUUGAUGAGAAUCCCAGUUCUCAAGGAUGUGGAUGGUCGUGAUCAUAUAUCAUAUGUCUACAAGGGAUUUUACAUUGAGUUCAUGGUAGUCUACUGAAUUAGCUGCUAAAUUAACCUCUUUGUGUGCGCGACUUAUAUCAUAUGCUUCUUUCUAUAGUUGGGGGUGGGGCCAAUUAUUUGAUGAUUUGUCACACCCCUGCGUUUGCGUUAUAAAGCAGCCAAGCCCACCAAUGCUUUGUGUGUCCAU
rnacentral:misc_RNA from 1 species